AAAAUGGCGGCUGAUCAAUUGCGGCCACGAAUUUUCUUCGAUGCCGAUUUCAGUGUUAUUGAAUUCAGUGAU